rnacentral:rRNA from 1 species
AUUGAACGCUGGCGGCAUGCUUUACACAUGCAAGUCGAACGGUAACAGGCCGCAAGGUGCUGACGAGUGGCGAACGGGUGAGUAAUGCAUCGGAACGUGCCCAGUCGUGGGGGAUAACGCAGCGAAAGCUGCGCUAAUACCGCAUACGAUCUCUGGAUGAAAGCGGGGGACCGAAAGGCCUCGCGCGAUUGGAGCGGCCGAUGUCAGAUUAGGUAGUUGGUGGGGUAAAGGCCCACCAAGCCAACGAUCUGUAGCUGGUCUGAGAGGACGACCACCCACACUGGGACUGAGACACGGCCCAUACUCCUACGGGAGGCAGCAGUGGGGAAUUUUGGACAAUGGGCGCAAGCCUGAUCCAGCAAUGCCGCGUGCAGGAAGAAGGCCUUCGGGUUGUAAACUGCUUUUGUACGGAACGAAACGGUCCGGGCUAAUACCCUGGGCUAAUGACGGUACCGUAAGAAUAAGCACCGGCUAACUACGUGCCAGCCGCCGCCGUAAUAC